rnacentral:lncRNA from 1 species
GUAAAUCCAAGACUUCGAGACUUUUAAUUCGUCCGAAAAAAUCGGGAGGAAUUGCCACUGAAUCAUCAUGGGCCAUAUGGAAAAAGGAAAGACCUGAAUACUCCAUCUCCCUAGGAAGCUCGGCUACAAUUUGAGGACAAGGUAAGCUUAUCACUCUCAAGCUGUUCAUUUUCGCCUUAUCGGACCACUCCUUUGGAAUAUGAUCUCUCAAAACAAGCAUAUGGUAGUCCUUCGAUGCAAUAGCUAAAGCAGCAUCCCAAACAACAUCAUGGAUAUCAAAGUGCUCAUCAUCAUAACUAUCAAGCAACAGGGAAGACGCUUUGAGAUUAGCCACAACCGUCAAUACUUCAUUUCUAGCUUCUUCCAUAGUGUUGACACCACCAAAUAAACCCAAACCCACAGUAUAUCUCAUCAACUUCUCAACCAGACCAUUAUGGCCUAUUACACAGCAAAGCAAGAAAGUCAGCUUAACUUCCUCACUUUCUAAAUAAUUAAAACUCCACUCAAUAGCUGAAUAUGCUGCAGCUAUCCCCGUGAAGUUGCUUGAUGAAGGCCUCUCUAGUUCUCGUAAAGCAUUCUUCCACUCAAACAAUCUUUUGUUUCUCAAAGCCCCUGCAACUGUCGCAAUGGCUAUGGGCAAUCCUGCACAUUUUUUGGCUACUUCCAUAGCUAUAGGCUUCGAAUCGCAACUUUCAACACAACCGCCAGCCUUCUUCUUGAACAGGUCCCAGGCCUCCUUUUCAUUUAGAAACCCUAUUGCAAAACAUUUCUGAGCAUCCAUCCCAUUUGAUAAAACAUUUAGCUCUCUAGAAGUUAGCAGCAACUUGCAUCCCUUGUGCUCAUCUCCCAAAGGGAUCCCAACUUCCUCAAUAUCAACCUUUGCCCAAAUGUCAUCCAAGACAACCAGAACCCUCUUCUCUUUCUUCAAUCUUUCUCGUAGUCGAAGUGCCUUUACAUCAGUACUCGGCUCCUCAAAAUUCAAGCCCAAUAACUCUGCAAUUCUGUUCUGAAUUUUCUCAAUAUCAAUGGUUUGAGUUACUGUUGCUAUGACAACCGAAUCAAAUAAAUUGCCCUUGACCUUUCUAGCGAUUUCUUUGACUAGCAUUGUUUUUCCGAUCCCACCCAUACCGUGCACCCCAAUAACGCUGACGCUAUCAUCAUUUAGUGCCUCCAUUAUUCCAUUCAAAACCAACGUUCUUGACUCGAAAUCCUCGUACCCUUUAACUGGUGGGACAGCGAUACCUUGCAGAGGCAUAGGAUAAGAAACCUCGUCAAACUUGCCCUGUUCAAGUAGCUCGGCAACAGCCUUCGCCUCCGCUGCAGCUUUCAGGCUAUGCUUGUAACGAGUCCAAAAAUUAGGACACAAACCAAUGAAACACUUUUUCUUUGCUUUUUCUUCAUCUUGCAUCACUUUCUCUACUUGUUCAGUGAUCUUCCUGUCCACUGCAGACAACCAUUUGUCAACAUCGCCUUCGAUCUCUUUGCCGUUUCGUAAAGCUGCAUCAACAGAAUGCUGUACUCUGUCCCUUGCAUCUUUCAGCUUCUCAGCCUUGUCCUUGAGGGUCUCAACAUUUUGCUGAUGAUUGGAAAGGUAUUUGACAUGGUUUAUGAUAGGAGAAAUCGUAUACUCUGCAGCUUUAGUGAAAAUAGAGCUAACGAUGCCAAUAACGAACUCCAUUGAGAGAGCAAACAGCAAGUAAACUGAAAAACCACAGCCGCAACAGAAAUCAAAACAAAACCAGAAGAAAAAAGUACAAGUAAAAAUAAGUAAAAAGUAGAGCUUCUGUAAACAAACAAGUAAGACCAAAAUGAAAGCAGAUGGCGUACUUUUCCAAAAUGAAAAUAAUUUGCCUUAACGGAGUAAAGCGAGUAGUAAUUUGAGAAAAGGCAAGUCAAUGAAAAAGUAAGCAAGUUUCAAUUGUAUUGUAUGUUCAAAAAGCAUGCAUUACUUUCGCGGAUACAACGAAAAAGUGAAGAAGACAACAGACAUGAUGACCCAACACGCCCAUGCUUUUUCAUUUAUUGCAAUUUUUUUUUGUACACUAAUUGUGAAAAACUAUUUUCAUUUUUUUAAAAUUAUUCUCUCUUUAGUCAUGUGACAUUAAUUCAAUAUUAUUUUAUACUCAUUUUAGUCACCUAAUUUUAAUAAAUUUUUAUUUUGAUCACUCAUUUCAUGUUUUAAAUUAAUUUUAUUUUUUUCAAAAAAAUAUUUUUCUUUUUCUUUGCAACUCCAUUUUCUAUAAAAACCAAGAUAAUUCAUUGAAAAAACUCAAGUUUUUCUCUUGUUAAUGAAUAAAAACUAAAAUGAAAUUGCAAUAACAUUAAAUUAAAUUUAUUGGUGAGUGGCCAAAAUAAAAACAAUUUUAAUCCUAAACCCUAAAAUAAAAAUAAAUUUUAAUAAUAGUGCCUAAAAUGAAAAUUUUUAUUUUUUAGUACUAAAAAUAAAACUUUUUGACAAACUGUGACCAAUUAUAUAGUUUUCCCUAAAAUACUUUAGCUUGAUUAAAAUAGCCUUAUCUUUUUUUAACUUUAUUUUUUAUUUAUUAAUUUACAUUCUAUUUUUGUAAAGGUCACGAAAGAAAGGAGCAAGGUGUGACCAAUUAUUGAGUUGGGGGCUUAAUGGGAAUACUAGGCUAUUUUACUAAAAUAGUCUAAAAAAAUAUUAUAUUUAUAAAAAUAACUCAAGUUUAAAAAUAAUCAUGAAAAUAAUUAUGUUUACAGAAUAAUCACCUAUGAUUGUCUGAUAAUUGUGUCAGAUUUUAAAAAAAUAAUUUUUUGGGUUUUGGCCUGUUAAUGGGCGGAACUCGUGUAUUUUUUUAAAUUGUAUAAUAUUAAUAUAAGAAAAAAGAAAAAGAACAAAAAAUUGGGUGCUGGCCUGUCAAUGGCCUGCACCGAGUACAGCAGAGUAAAAAAAAAUUUUUUUGGGUGCUGGCCUGUCAAUGGCUGACACCCAGUACAGUAAAAAAAUUCGAAUUUUGGUCUAUCAAUGACCGGCACCAAAGUAUGAAAAAAAGUAAAAAAAUAUUUUUUUUGGGUGCUGGCCUGUCAAUGGCCGGCACCCAGUACAGUAAAAUUUUUUUUUAUUUUUUUUAAAAAUAUAUAUUUUUUAGUAUUGACUUAUUAAUGGCCUACACUCAGUACGGUAAAAAAAUUUACUUUUUUUCCUUUGUACUUAUUGUAUGUUCAAAAAACAUGUAUUACUUUCGCGGAUACAACUAAAAAGUGAAGAAGACAACAGAUAUAAUGACCCACCACGCCGAUGCUUUUUCAUUUAUUGCAAUUUUUAUUCGUACACUAAUUGUUGUUGAAGUUAGGUAGCAUUAAAUGUUGGGUAAAUUCCACAAUUGGUCAUUUAGGCAUUGCAGUCAAAAAUUAUUUUUAAAAUCUUUAGUCACGUGACAUUAAUUCAAUAUUAUUAUAGACUUAUUUUAAUCACCUAAUUUUAAUAAAUUUUUAUUUUAAUCACUCAUUUCAUGUUUUAAAUUAAUUUUAUUUUUUUUCAAAAAAAUACAUUCCUUUUUCUCUGCAACUCCAUUUCCUAUAAAAGCCCAAAUAAUUCAUCAAAAAAACCCAAGUUUUUCUCUUGUUAAUGAAUAAAAACUAAAAUGAAAGUGCAAUAACAUUAAAUUAAUGGUGAAUGGCCAAAAUAAAAACAAUUUUAACCAUAGUGCCUAAAAUGAAACUUUUUAUUUUUUAGUACCAAAAAUAAAACUUUUUGAAAAACGGUGACCAAUUAUAUAGUUUUCCCUAAAAUAUUUUAGCUUGAUUAAAGUAGACUUAUCUUUUUAUAACUUUAUUUUUUAUUUAUUAAUUUAUAUUCUCUUUUGGUAAAUGUGACAAAAGAAAGGAACAAGGUAUGACCAAUUAUUGAGUUGGGGGCUUAAUGGGAAUACUAUUUUGGUACUGUGUUUUGCAGGUAAAUUCGAAAAAAGAUAUUAUAAAAAUCUGUUGGAAAAAUAUCAACACAUAGAUCAAAAGCUAUCAACAUAUCUAUAUAACUAUUUAUAUAUAUGGCUAAAUUAGCCAAAAAAAGCAGAUUUAAAAAAAAAAUUGUUGUUUAGGCCCAUGUUUGACAUAUUUUUCGUAAUAGUUUAAUUUUUAAUAGAAAAACUAAAAAUGUGUAAGAAAGCACGAUACCCUUACCCUUACUUGACAUCGACAUUAAUUUAAACUUUAAAGUUUAAAAAAACUUAACAAAAAUCAAAAGUAUUGGUACACUUGACAUCGACAUCAAUUUGAAUUUUAAAGUUCAGAAAAAUUGAACAAAAAUUAAAAAUAUUAAUACACUUGAGAAAGUAUCGAUACUUUUCACCAUGUAUUGAUACCAUCAUCAAUCUUUCAAAAUUCUAUGUUUUUUUUUUGUUCAUUUUCAUAUGUAUUUUUCUUCUCAUAUUUUACCAUUUCUCAACCUGUUUGUUUACCUUACAAGUUUAUCAUAUCUAAAACAUGAUUUUAGCAAAGCUGCUAUUGUGGAACCAAAAAUAUUUUGUAUUUAUGAUUUAAAUGAAGGAAAUUUUUUUUUACUAUUUCUACAUUUCACAUUACUUUUUUGUGAAAAAAAUUAGAAAGUGGGAGACUUUCAAGUAAAUGUUGGGGAAAAGCAGGAUCAAUCAAUGAAGGAUAGUUUCAGCAAGGUCCCCAUAGUGGAGCCACCAUUGAUAAUUUCCUUUCAUUUUUGGAAAACAAUAGAAAAAUGUAAGUUUUGAUUUAAAAAAUGAAUGUAAUUUUUUUUUUGAGAUGAUAUUAAGAAAAUAUACAACUAGUUACACGAAAAAACUACUGAAAACCAAAACUAUUAGCUUUAUCCAUGUCUAAGAUUUCUUGAAUCUCUCUAGGAGAAGAAUCAAGUAUUUGCAACUCUUCCUUUCUUCUAAGAGCCAAUUUGGUUAUAGCGUCCACAACCUAAUUAUUCUCCCGAGAUAUAUGUUUUACAGGCCACUAGCCUUCGUGAGUCAAUAGGUAUUGGAUCCUCCUGAUUAGAGCAAAAUUCAAUAUGGUUGAUAUGCUAUCUUGAAUUGAUUUAAUAGCCUCCAAAUUAUUUGAUUGGACUAUCACCUUAUCAUGCCAAUCUGUUUCAUAGUAGGUUAAUACCAACCAAAAUGUUCCAUAAUUCAGUGUCAAAAGUUGAGUACUUCCCCAAAUGAUGAUUAUAUCCGAGAAUCCAAAACAAUGAAUAAAGCAAGAACUUUUAGGUUAGUUUUGAAAAAAGUCAAAACAAAAUAAUAACGUGGUAUGUUUGAAAUUAGUCCCUUUAUUUUUCUUUAUAAAUUUGAAAUUUUGUCAUGAUACUUUUAUUUUAAAGAAUUUAGUCUAUUUAUUUUUACAUUUCAAAAUUUAAGUCUAAACUAUUAGUAUUGUUAAAAUUAUUUUAUUAAAUUCAAGUUCAUUAUAAUAAUGUUAUUUCCUUAAUUACAUUGCUAUCAAGUAGGGGAGAAUCCAAAAGGGUAGGCAAAGGCCUUGAUCUCUUGGAUAAUAUUGGUAAAUCCUGGCUUCGCCUUUGGUAUCCAAUGAGUUUUUUUUUUUCUAAAGCAUGUAAUCAAUCAACAAUUUAUAGAGUUAAAUAAGUCGUUUUAAGAUUUGAUAAAAUUUUAUUUUUUAAAAAAACUAAAAAAUUUAUAGAGGACUAAAUAAGACUGCUUGGAAUAGGAAUUUGCGAAUUUUGUGUUCUUCAAUAUUUAAAUCGACUAAAAACAUAAAAGCUUAUGCCCUACCAGUUUUUGUACUUUUAGAGAGAGAAAAAAGAUUCAAAUAAAAAUAUUUAAUAGUAGAAUUUCUCAUUACUAAAAUUUUAAUAAAUUAAUACAACCAAUAAAAUUAAUUUAAUAAAAUAAAAAUCAAUUAUGGUUUGAAUAUUUAUUAUUUAAAACAAUAAGUGUUUCCUUAUCUAUUAAGUGUUUGGUGGAUGUUCAAUUCUUUUGUCAAUUUUUGCUCGCCGCUUUGGGCUAUCCGAGGCUAAUUUCCUUAUCUAAGUGUUUGCAACCAUUUCAGAUAUGUCGUGCUUGAGUUGUGACAAAGUUAAUUGUCAACGUGUCAUAAUGUUCUAAAGCCUUAGAAUUCAAUUAAACAUAAACAAGUCAUGCCCAAAUUUGGUGUUUGAUUUUUAUGAUUAAAUCCUAACAAAAUCAAUAUUAAAUCAAACGAAUCUAGAAUAGAUGGAUUUUUUUUUGUUGUUUUAAAAGAUCAUAAUACCUUAUAAAAAUUACACACCAUGAAAGUGGAAAGAAGAAUAGGAAGUAUGAUUUAAAAUUGAUAAACUAGCAUUGUUUAUGUAAUAGCCCGAUUUUCAGAAAUGUUGAAAAUAGUGGUACGAGAUCAUCAAAUUCAGAAAAUAAGCUCGUAAAUUUUAUUAUCAAUAAUUACGAGCCAAAUAUGAUUUUUAAGAGAUUUUUAAAUUAGUAAUUUGUAUUUUAUAAAAAAUUAUUAAGUCAAUAAAUUGAGGAAAAGAGUUAUCGAGACUUCGAUGUUAUAAACUGAGCCGUAAAUAUUUUUAUAAAUAUUUACGGAGUGUCAAUAUGGUAGUGUUAAAGUUCCGUCAGAAAAUUUUAAUGUUUUUGCAGUUAAUUAAUUAAAAAGAACUAAAUUGAAAAGAUGCAAAACUUGCUAAAGUGAUUAAAUAGCUUAACAAUUAAAUAAGGAAGGACUAAAAGAGAAAAUGGACCAAUUUAAGUGGCUGAGAUGGCAUACCGUUAAAAAAAUCUAACAUUUUUAUGUAUUAAGGACAAAUUUGGAAUUACAAUAAAGUUUAUGUGGCCAAAUUUUAUUUUAAGCAUUUCAAGACCAUUUCUUCUGGAAAUUUCGGUGGGAGACAGCCAUGGAAGAGGGUUUGGAGCUGGUAUUCCAUAUUUUGGCUUCAAGUAAGUUUAAUUCUUGCUUUGUCCUUGAAAUUUUUAUAUUUUUAGACUUUUACAAUUAGGUCCAACUUAGUAUUCUACUAGUUUCUCAUUUUGUUGAAAGUUUUGGAAGAUACUAAUGAUAAGUUCAUAUGAUUUUUGUUAUUUUGUGAUGAAAUUGAGAUGUUAAUGGAUGUUUAAAGGUGUUUUAUUAAAGAAUUUUAGAUGAAAACAAGUUUUAGGGAUUAAAUUGAAAAGUAUUGAAAUCAUGAAGAAAUUCUAAAAUUUCAUGGAAUCCAUGGGCUGUUAUUGAUAUGUAUGGGAAAUACUAGGCUUGAAUCAAGGAUUAUAUUGCAAGAAUUUCAUUUUCCAAGCCUAGGGACGAAAUUAUCAUAUAUUAAAAGUUUAGAGUCAAAUUGGUAAUCAAUAUAUUACACUAAACAGUUUUGGGCAGCAGCAGUGGCCUAAUUUUGAAAAAUCACCAAAAAUUGUGAGAAUUGAAAUAGAAGAUGAAUAAAAUAUAAAAUUAAAGCUUAUUGAGUCUAGUUUUUUUAUAGAAGAAAUGGUGUGAGCAAUGGAAUUGUAAAUUAUAAGAUAUAAUAAGUUUUGUGAGACAAUGUCAGAAUGAUUUGGGGUUUCCCUGUUCUGAUUUUGGAAAAUCAUCAAAAAUUUAAGAAAAAUAUUUAUGAGCUAUAAUUUAUAUGUUUAGAAUCCUUGGUGAGUCUAUUUUCAAAUGAAAUAAACGGAAACAUCAUCUGAAUUCUGUACAAUUAGAUAAUUCAUUUUUAGUAGAGAGUGGUCGGAACUGUCAGACAGCAAAACAAGAGAAACUUUAAAGAAUAAAUUGUAUUAAUUUGCUAAACCAAAAAUUCUGAAAAUUUUAUGGUAAGAAGAUAUGUGAGUCUAGUUUCAAGGAAAUUUUACGGAUCUUAAUUUGGAGCUCUUUAGCUCCAGAUAAAAAUAAUUGACUCUGACUCGGAUAAACAGCUUUGAAUAUAUAUGUGAGUGAAUAGUGAAAUUAUAGUUAAUGUUGUUUAAGCGUGUUAUAUACAUUAAGGAUGUGGAAUGGAGAGGAGGAGGAGAAAAAUUGGAAAAUAUAUGAUUGAUUUGUGUAUAAUUGGUCAUAGGCUUGAUUAUAAUUGAUAAAUGAUGAAAUCGAAAUGAUGCUUGUAUUUGUGCAUUAUUGGUCAUGGUAUAAGUUUAUGUGUGAAAAUAAAGUUUCAUAGUAUGUUUGUAUGGUAUAUUCCGUAUAUGAUUUGGCAUGAAUGGUUUAUGAAUUAACACAUGUUGGCUUUGGCCAAGUAGUGAUUAGAUUAUGCCACGUUAAAUUUAUAAGUUAUGCACCACGCCUAUGCUUUUUCAUUUGGCCAAGUAAAAAUGAACAAAAAGUAAAGCUUCUGUAAACAAACAAGACAGAACAAAUGAAAGCAGAUGGCGUACCUUUGCAAAAUAUAACAAGUGUAUUGUAUGUUCAAAAAACAUGUAUUACUUUCGCGGAUACAACUAAAAAGUGAGGCUAUUUUACUAAACUAGUCUGAAAAAAUAUUAUAUUUAUAAAAAUAAUCCAAGUUCAAAAAUAAUUAUUAAAAUAACCUAAAAUGAACAGCACCCACUCGUUUUUUGCACCAAUGAUUGCCUAAUAAUUGUUUCAGAAUUAAAAAAUUAAUUUUUUGGGUUUUGGCCUGUCAAUGGCCGAAACCCAUGUAUUUUUUUUAAAUUGUAUAAUACUGAUAUACGAAAAAGGAAAAAGAAAAAAAAUAAAAAAAUUAAAUUUUUGGGUGAAGGCCUGUCAAUGGCCGGCACCCAAUAGUAACAAAAAAAUUUUUGAAUUUUUUUCGUGUCAGAAUCAGAUAUCAGUAUACGAAAAAAGUUGAAAAAAAUUUUUUUGGGUGCUGGCUUGUCAAUGGCUAGCACCCAGUACAAAUUUUAAAAAACAAUUUUUUUUCUUUUUUUCGUGUAAAAAUCAGAUAUCAGAAUACAAAAAAAGUAAAAAAAAAUUUGGGUGCUGGCAUGUCACUGGCCGACACCCAGUACAAAUUUAAAAAAAUUUCUUUUUUGCGUGUAAAAAUCAUAUAUCAGUAUACGAAAAAAGUUAAAAGAAAUUUUUUGGGUGCUGGCCUGUCAAUGGCCGGCACCCAGUACAAAUUAAAAUUUUUUUCGUGUAAAAAUCAGAUAUCAGUAUAUUGAUAUCUGAUUCUGACAUAAAAACAAUUCAAAAUUUUUUUUGUUACUAUUGGGUGCCGACCAUUGACAGGCCAACAGCCAAAAAAUUAAUUUUUUUCUUUUUUUCUUUUCUUUUUUCGUAUAUCAAUAUUAUACAAAUUAAAAAAAAAUACAUGGGUUUCGGCCAUUGACAGGCUAAAAUUCAAAAAAUUAAUUUUUUUAAUUCUGACACAAUUAUUAGGCAAUCAUUGGUGCAAAAAACGAGUGGGUACUGUUCAUUUUAAGUUAUUUUGGCGAUUAUUUUUGAACUUGGGUUAUUUUUAUAAAUAUAAUAUUUUUUUAGACUGAUUUGGUAAAAUAGCCAAAAAGUGAAGAAGACAACAGACAUGAUGACCCACCACGCCUGUGCUUUUUCAAUUAUUGCAAUUUUUAUUCGUACAAUAAUUGUUGAAGUUAGGUAGCAUUAAAUGUUGGGUAAAUUCCACAAUUGGUCAUUUAGGCAUUGCAGUCAAAAACUAUUUUCAUUUUUUUAAAAUUAUUCCCUCUUUAUAGUUAAUGUUGUUUAAGCGUGUUAUAUACAUUAAGGAUGUGGAAUGGAGAGGAGGAGGAGAAAAAUUGGAAAAUAUAUGAUUGAUUUGUGUAUAAUUGGUCAUAGGCUUGAUUAUAAUUGAUAAAUGAUGAAAUCGAAAUGAUGCUUGUAUUUGUGCAUUAUUGGUCAUGGUAUAAGUUUAUGUGUGAAAAUAAAGUUUCAUAGUAUGUUUGUAUGGUAUAUUCCGUAUAUGAUUUGGCAUGAAUGGUUUAUGAAUUAACACAUGUUGGCUUUGGCCAAGUAGUGAUUAGAUUAUGCCACGUUAAAUUUAUAAGUUAUGCACCACGCCUAUGCUUUUUCAUUUGGCCAAGUAAAAAUGAACAGAAAGUAAAGCUUCUGUAAACAAACAAGACAGAACAAAUGAAAGCAGAUGGCGUACCUUUGCAAAAUAUAACAAGUGUAUUGUAUGUUCAAAAAACAUGUAUUACUUUCGCGGAUACAACUAAAAAGUGAGGCUAUUUUACUAAACUAGUCUGAAAAAAUAUUAUAUUUAUAAAAAUAAUCUAAGUUCAAAAAUAAUUAUUAAAAUAACCUAAAAUGAACAGUACCCACUCGUUUUUUGCACCAAUGAUUGCCUAAUAAUUGUUUCAGAAUUAAAAAAUUAAUUUUUUGGGUUUUGGCCUGUCAAUGGCCGAAACCCAUGUAUUUUUUUUAAAUUGUAUAAUACUGAUAUACGAAAAAGGAAAAAGAAAAAAAAUAAAAAAAUUAAAUUUUUGGGUGCAGGCCUGUCAAUGGCCGGCACCCAAUAGUAACAAAAAAAAUUUUGAAUUUUUUUCGUGUCAGAAUCAGAUAUCAGUAUACGAAAAAAGUUGAAAAAAAUUUUUUUGGGUGCUGGCUUGUCAAUGGCUAGCACCCAGUACAAAUUUUAAAAAACAAUUUUUUUUCUUUUUUUCGUGUAAAAAUCAGAUAUCAGAAUACAAAAAAAGUAAAAAAAAAUUUGGGUGCUGGCAUGUCACUGGCCGACACCCAGUACAAAUUUAAAAAAAUUUCUUUUUUGCGUGUAAAAAUCAUAUAUCAGUAUACGAAAAAAGUUAAAAGAAAUUUUUUGGGUGCUGGCCUGUCAAUGGCCGGCACCCAGUACAAAUUAAAAUUUUUUUCGUGUAAAAAUCAGAUAUCAGUAUAUUGAUAUCUGAUUCUGACAUGAAAACAAUUCAAAAUUUUUUUUGUUACUAUUGGGUGCCGACCAUUGACAGGCCAACAGCCAAAAAAUUAUUUUUUUUCUUUUUUUCUUUUUCUUUUUUCGUAUAUCAAUAUUAUACAAAUUAAAAAAAAAUACAUGGGUUUCGGCCAUUGACAGGCUAAAAUUCAAAAAAUUAAUUUUUUUAAUUCUGACACAAUUAUUAGGCAAUCAUUGGUGCAAAAAACGAGUGGGUACUGUUCAUUUUAAGUUAUUUUGGCGAUUAUUUUUGAACUUGGGUUAUUUUUAUAAAUAUAAUAUUUUUUUAGACUGAUUUGGUAAAAUAGCCAAAAAGUGAAGAAGACAACAGACAUGAUGACCCACCACGCCUGUGCUUUUUCAAUUAUUGCAAUUUUUAUUCGUACAAUAAUUGUUGAAGUUAGGUAGCAUUAAAUGUUGGGUAAAUUCCACAAUUGGUCAUUUAGGCAUUGCAGUCAAAAACUAUUUUCAUUUUUUUAAAAUUAUUCCCUCUUUAUAGUUAAUGUUGUUUAAGCGUGUUAUAUACAUUAAGGAUGUGGAAUGGAGAGGAGGAGGAGAAAAAUUGGAAAAUAUAUGAUUGAUUUGUGUAUAAUUGGUCAUAGGCUUGAUUAUAAUUGAUAAAUGAUGAAAUCGAAAUGAUGCUUGUAUUUGUGCAUUAUUGGUCAUGGUAUAAGUUUAUGUGUGAAAAUAAAGUUUCAUAGUAUGUUUGUAUGGUAUAUUCCGUAUAUGAUUUGGCAUGAAUGGUUUAUGAAUUAACACAUGUUGGCUUUGGCCAAGUAGUGAUUAGAUUAUGCCACGUUAAAUUUAUAAGUUAUGCACCACGCCUAUGCUUUUUCAUUUGGCCAAGUAAAAAUGAACAGAAAGUAAAGCUUCUGUAAACAAACAAGACAGAACAAAUGAAAGCAGAUGGCGUACCUUUGCAAAAUAUAACAAGUGUAUUGUAUGUUCAAAAAACAUGUAUUACUUUCGUGGAUACAACUAAAAAGUGAGGCUAUUUUACUAAACUAGUCUGAAAAAAUAUUAUAUUUAUAAAAAUAAUCUAAGUUCAAAAAUAAUUAUUAAAAUAACCUAAAAUGAACAGCACCCACUCGUUUUUUGCACCAAUGAUUGCCUAAUAAUUGUUUCAGAAUUAAAAAAUUAAUUUUUUGGGUUUUGGCCUGUCAAUGGCCGAAACCCAUGUAUUUUUUUUAAAUUGUAUAAUACUGAUAUACGAAAAAGGAAAAAGAAAAAAAAUAAAAAAAUUAAAUUUUUGGGUGCAGGCCUGUCAAUGGCCGGCACCCAAUAGUAACAAAAAAAAUUUUGAAUUUUUUUCGUGUCAGAAUCAGAUAUCAGUAUACGAAAAAAGUUGAAAAAAAAUUUUUUGGGUGCUGGCUUGUCAAUGGCUAGCACCCAGUACAAAUUUUAAAAAACAAUUUUUUUUCUUUUUUUCGUGUAAAAAUCAGAUAUCAGAAUACAAAAAAAGUAAAAAAAAAUUUGGGUGCUGGCAUGUCACUGGCCGACACCCAGUACAAAUUUAAAAAAAUUUCUUUUUUGCGUGUAAAAAUCAUAUAUCAGUAUACGAAAAAAGUUAAAAGAAAUUUUUUGGGUGCUGGCCUGUCAAUGGCCGGCACCCAGUACAAAUUAAAAUUUUUUUCGUGUAAAAAUCAGAUAUCAGUAUAUUGAUAUCUGAUUCUGACAUGAAAACAAUUCAAAAUUUUUUUUGUUACUAUUGGGUGCCGACCAUUGACAGGCCAACAGCCAAAAAAUUAAUUUUUUUCUUUUUUUCUUUUUCUUUUUUCGUAUAUCAAUAUUAUACAAAUUAAAAAAAAAUACAUGGGUUUCGGCCAUUGACAGGCUAAAAUUCAAAAAAUUAAUUUUUUUAAUUCUGACACAAUUAUUAGGCAAUCAUUGGUGCAAAAAACGAGUGGGUACUGUUCAUUUUAAGUUAUUUUGACGAUUAUUUUUGAACUUGGGUUAUUUUUGUAAAUAUAAUAUUUUUUUAGACUAAUUUGGUAAAAUAGCCAAAAAGUGAAGAAGACAACAGACAUGAUGACCCACCACGCCUGUGCUUUUUCAAUUAUUGCAAUUUUUAUUCGUACAAUAAUUGUUGAAGUUAGGUAGCAUUAAAUGUUGGGUAAAUUCCACAAUUGGUCAUUUAGGCAUUGCAGUCAAAAACUAUUUUCAUUUUUUUAAAAUUAUUCCCUCUUUAGUCACGUGACAUUAAUUCAAUAUUAUUAUAUACUCAUUUUAAUCACUCAAUUUUAAUAAAUUUUUAUUUUAAUCACUUAUUUUAUAUUUUAAAUUAAUUUUAUUUUUUUCAAAAAAAAACCUUCAUUUUUGUCUGCAACUCCAUUUUCUAUAAAAACUCAAAUAAUUCAUCGAAAAAAACUCAAGUUUUUCUCUUGUUAAUAGUGAGUGACCAAAAUAAAAAUAAUUUUAACCGUAGUGCAUAAAAUGAAAAUAAUUUUUAAUAAUAGUUCAUAAAAUGAAAUUUUUUUAUUUUUUAGUACCAAAAUAAAACUUUUUGAAAAACGGUGACCAAUUAUACAAUUUCCCCUAAAAUAUUUUAGCUUGAUUAAAGUAGCAUUAUCUUUUUAUAACUUUAUUUUUUAUUUAUUAAUUUAUAUUCUCUUUUGGUAAAGGUGACAAAAGAAAGGAACAAGGUAUGACCAAUUAUUGAGUUGGGGGCUUAAUGGGAAUACUAUUUUGGUACUGUAUUUUGGAGGUAAAUUCGAAAAAAGAUCUUAUUAAAAUCUGUUGGAAAAAUAUUAACACAUACAUCAAAAGCUAUCAACAUAUCUAUAUAACUAUUUAUAGCCAAAAAAAACAAAGCAGAUUUUUUAAAAAAAAUGGUUGUUUAGGCCCAUUUUUGACAUAUUUAUGGUAAUAGUUUAAUUUUUAAUAGAAAAAGUAAAAAUGUGUAAGAAAGCACGAUACAUUUACCCUUACUUGACAUCGACAUCAAUUUGAACUUUAAAGUUCAAAAAACCUUAACAAAAAUUAAAAGUAUUGAUACACUUAAGAAAAUAUCGAUACCUUUCACCAUGUAUUGAUACCAUCAUCAACUUUUCAAUAUUCUAUCUAUGUUUUUCUUUUGUUCAUUUUCAUAUGUAUUUGUCUUCGCAUAUUUUACCAUUUCUCAACUUGUUUGUUUACCCUACAAGUUUAUAUAUUUAAAACAUGAAUUUAGCAAAGCUGCUAUUGUGGAACCAAAAAAUAUUUUGUAUUGAUGAUGAGAUUUAUGGAACUUACAAAUUGGCUAUCAGGCCUUGAAAGAAUGGGUGGUAGUGGUGGUGGCAGCUGCUUCCUUGUGAGGCUGCUAUAGUGGCACUUUCCUUAAACUAAUAUUGUAAAGGUACUCCCAUUUUUAAUGGUAUCUCGCUCUCUCUAUUCUAAUAAUGUUUUCUUUUCUCUCCAUUAAAUUAUAGAAAAAAGAUUUUGGUAUCGGAGGAUUCACCAUGUAUCCAUCUUCUAAAGUUAGGAGAAGACUACCAUUAGAAAGUAGCAUUACACAAAGCAUCUCUCUUUCCCCACAUUGUCGAUAAAUCUCUGUAAUCCAAUUAACAGAUUUAUAAAUUCCAUUGUAACUCUAAACAUAAGAAACAAUACCUGCAAGGGUACGGAUAUUAAAAAUGCAUCAUCCUAGACACAAUGUCAUUUUCUCUCUUCAAAAUCGGCCUAUUCCAAUAAAUAUAUAAAAAAUAAGCCUAAACAACCAAAUUUUUUCUUAAAUCGGCCUUCCUGACUAAUUUAGAUUUUAUAUAAGAACGAUGAUUUAUGCUUCACAUAAAUUAGAUCAAUAAUCGAAGUAAGUAUAUAAGUGGGUGUGAACUUAUUAAAAAUAUCAAGAAAGUAACAUAUAUAUAAUUAAAUAUAUAAUUAGUUAACUAAUGAGGUGUCACAAAUACUAGAGUGCUACGUUCAAAAUUGAAAAAAAUUAUUAAAUUUUAAAAUUAUGUGAAAAAAAAUUACAGAUCAAAUUAAAAGAAAAUGUCAUGUUCGGAACUAAAUGUUGACUAACCUUCAUUUAUUAACCCAAAUGUUAAUAGGAUUAAAUAUCUUAAAGUAAUUUUAAUCUCUAAAAUUUAACACGAUUGAAAGUUUUUAAUUUUUUUUAGGCAUAAUAAUAAAUUUAGCUUCUAAUAUUUAUUGUUUUUUACUUUAAUCUUAAUUUUUUAUUGCUUUAACUCUCAACCUUACAAAUAUAAUCAAAUUGUUUUUCACUUUAGUCUUAAUUUUGUUCUCCUCUCUAAUGGGGUUUUCAAGGACAAGAAGAUCAUACUCUCUUAUUGCUCUUAGCUUUCUCACCAUUUCAUUUCUACGUUUAUGAUAAUACUCUAAAAUGACAUAUUUUUAUGUAUUAAUUACAUAUUUAUUUUGAGUACGAUCUUAUUAAUUUGUACUUUUUAUGAUUUUUUAUUUUGUAGGGAUUAAAUUGCAGGCAAAAGGAAUUUCCCCUUCUCACUACAAGUGAGCUUUUUCCCUGUUGCGAUCUCUUUGUUCUGUAUCGGCCUUCCGAGUAACAUGAUUACUAGUCUCUUGUUUAUGUAUGUAUCAGUGGCAUAGAUUGGAAUGAGCCAGGAGUAAGGAAUUGUUCAAGGCAGACGACACCAUUCAAGGGAUCGAUUUAUCCAACUGGUUUGCCUCUGGCAGAGUACGUAGUUAAAGAGGUCAUAAGGAACAUCAAGAAACCUGUUCAUUUGCUUGAUAUUACAAUGCUCUCUCAAUUAAGAAAAGAUGCACAUCCUAGCACUUACAAUGACUUCAACGGCAUGGAUUGCACCCACUGGUGCGUUGCCGGCCUCCCCGAUACAUGGAAUCUACUUCUGUAUGCAGCUCUCAUCAAAUAGUAGAGAAAUUUGGUUCAGGCACUAGCCACCCAACAUAUAUGUGGUCUCCUUAAAUUAUUUAUUUUGCUUACUCAAAAAAGAUCAUAAGAUUAUACAUUGAAAAUAUAAUAAAUUUGUUUACUUCUGUUUGCAGUUCUCAAUUAUGCAUGUGAUGUAAUUCAAUUAUUUAUGGCAUUGGUUUGUUUUCUUCUUGCUUUAGAUUGUUUCUCCUAUUGCCUAAAAAAAGAGAAUUGGUGAUAUUAUGAUUGUGAGGAUGAAUAUGAGAAUCCUGGGAUUGAAGAGAUAUUAGCUUCAACUUUUCAUCAAAAUACUGAAAUAAGUACAUAAUAUUCUUUAUAGAGAGAACAAAAAAAGAAGAAACAAGCACACGCAAAAUGAGUAGCAAUCUUAAUUAAAUCAUCUAAUCCCCCAAGCUGAUACAAAAAUACCAGCAAAAAGUAUAAUGUGGCUGAAAUACAUCCAUAAAACUGGGGUCAACCUUACUACUAAAAGUUUUCAUGUUUGUAAUUCCCAGUGCCAAGCAUGAUGCACUUCAAAAUCAAUACUUUGGUAAUAAUGUGAAAUGCAACAGUUCAAUAGUGGAUUUGCAAAAACAGAAUAAAGGAAAGUGGACGCCCCCAUACUCCAACAGAGCAACUCAACCUACAAUGAAAAAGGCAUUUCCAUGGUCACUUUGUAAAGCAUUAGUUAAGCCAUGAUGAAAAUAGAAGAGUAAAUUACCAUUUGGUUUGAAUUGAAAUGAAACUGAGCUUGUCUCACACGCACCCCAACAUAUUUCCUUAUUUCAUUUGGAGCAACUGAUCAGUAACCUCGACCGCUUGAGAAUUUUGAACAUUCUGUACGUGCGUGAUCAAAAGAAACAAUUAUAAAGAAAGGUAAAACCAACGUUUUCAAAAGUAAAACACUUUAAAAUGAUUGGUACCAUUUGAUCGAACAUAUGCUUUAUGGUGGUGUUAAGGUCGCCUUCCCACUGCAGUUCACCAUCCUCAUCUCUUGUUAAGUGCAUUUGUUCCAGCCUUGGUGUGCUUAACUCCCCUUGAGAGAAAUUCUUCAUUUUGGGGCAGUCUGUCACUAUCACCAUUUGCAAGACUGGGAACUCCAACGAGUGAUGCGCCAAUGAAAAGCUUGCUAUACUUGGCAGAUGACUUAGUUGCAAAUACUUCAGCUUGGGAAAAACAAUGCUGGCCUGUAAGUCUUCACCUUCACAUGAUAUGAUUUCUUCUAUCAACUCAGAAUCAGCUAUGCUCAAUCUUUCUAGUAGUGUCAGGCUCUUAGCUGUCGAGCAUGCCAUUAGAUUGAUGAAUCCAUGGCAUCUUGAAACUUCCAUACUUAAUAGAUUUUUGACAGACAACAAAAAUGGCUCUAAAGUCUUUAAUGUUAGCUCUGGAAGUUGAGACAACCUUAAGGCCUCUAACUGAUAGCAUGCCCAUGUGUGCCUUUCCUCGUUGAUGAGUCCUUCAAACCGGACUAUUUCAGAAAUGGAGGCAUUGUUUAUAACAAGCUUCUCAAGCUUUGGUAGUGACUGAAUGAAGGAAUAUGGAAGAGUAGUAGAUGUCUCAGGAAAGAAUUGGAGGUUAAGAAGUUUGAGGUUUGGGAAACACUGCAAUGAGAGUUGUCCAUCACAUAUCCCCUUUAUCAUAUCAUUCGUCUUCAGUGUUAAUUCUUGUAAAACAGGGAAAGUGUCCUGGACAACAACAAAUAUAUUGAACAUUGACUAAGGAGUUUUAAAUUUGAGUUAGUUCAAAAGGCAACUUAUAGGGAACCUCAUUUGAUUUGAAUAUAAAUUCAAGUAAUGAACAUGGAAUAUAAACUAUCAGUGAGCAGACCUCAUUGACGCAAAACAAGGGUUGUUGGUUUGGGAUUUCAACCUCACCAAAUAUCUGUGCUUUGGGGCAUUCAAUAACCUUCAUAAAUUUCAAUGACGGCCAUUGGGUGGUAUGCAUCCUAGAGCAGAAACUUUUCAAACUCGGCACCUUAUCCAGUCCAAGGUGCGUUAGACGGGGAAAUACAAACUUGGUCAUCACUGUUUCUGCCAUAGUAGACCGAGUAGCUGAUGUUGACUGUGCUUCAUUGGCAUUGAGUGCUUGCAGCUCAAUUAUUUCUUCUAACGAAUCACAGCCCUGAAUCAGCAACUUCUUCAACCAAGGGAAAACAACCUAAUACAUCAUUAGAUUGGGUUAAUAACUGAAAUAUGUUGAAAUGAAAAAGAUUAAUGAAAGAAGUAAAAGGAGAAGAGAACAAUAGUAAAGUAAAAGAGGAAGAAAUGACCUUUUGAUUGAGGACAGCAGAGUUAUUUGUUUGUGUAGGUUGGUGAAUUUGAGUUUCAUCUCCACAUACAGAUUUAGAGAUGAUUGUUCUCAGCAGAGGACAAUUUGUUAGUGUUAAAUCUCUUAAGUAUGGGAAUUCAAAGCCAUUCUCAAAGCAGGUAUCUUUGAGUUUGGGAGGGUCUUCCAGACACAGGGACUGCAGUGUAGGGAACAUCUGAUUCCUCUCUGGUGAGUAGGAUGGGUGGUGCCAUAUCUUAUGAAUGUUAAUGGAGGACAACUUCAGAUUCAUCAAACGGGGAAUGACAACCUGUUGACAUAAAUAAUAUGAGUUUAGAUUUUAUGAAUAUAAAUAACAAUAUAAAUUAUAACACAUUUCUAUUUUCAUCAAAUAAAUUCAGUUGUAUUUUAAGGUUAGAGAAAAAAUUAGAAAAAAUAAUUUGUUUUUAAAAUGUCUUUCAAAUAAAUAUUUAUACUAUUAUUCAAAUACCAAACUUUUAAAACAAAAAUCAUAUAUUAAAAGUAUUAUAUAUGUACUUUAAUUUAUUUUAAAAAUAAGAUAAAAAUUAUUCUAUUGACGAUUCGAGUUUGGAUGCAUACUCAUAUCAGCACAACUAAAAUUUAAAUAAAGUGAAUAAAGUUUACGCUUCGCUCAAAUUCAUCAAAUAGAAAGAUGAUAUGAAUUAAUUAGUUCAGAUAAAGAUUGAAUGCCAAACUGACCUUGUCACAGAAUAAAGCGGCAGUAUCAUCUUCCACAUCUUGCUCGUCAAUCACUUUUUCACUCUUUCUUGAAAUUGUAGAAGAAAAUGCCCUCAUUUUUGCGCACUCAGCUAUCGUAAUAUCCCACAAAUUUGGAAUUUCAAGAGGUCGACUUCCCAAAUAAAAAUUUGUCAAGUUGGAACACAUCUCUAUUUUUACAAAGGAGAGCUUAGGAAAUAUCAAAUUAUGUAUGGUUGCUUCCUCCUCGUCUUCCCUGAUCACUUGUUCCAUUGCAUUGCAUUCUUUUACUUCUAUCCUUCUUAGUUGCUUCAGGCUCAAAAGCAUAGACGGGGUAAAAAUAUAGUUCAAGCUGCUACAUUUAUAAAUCUCCAUUCUGCUAAGGUUCUUCGACUCCAAGAUUUCUUGAGGGUUUCUUUUCCAUAUUUCUAUCAACUUUGGAAACGUGUCAGAGAUGUUCAAAUCAAAUGGGAUAUUGAAUCCACCCUAAAACAACAAAUCCAUCCAUAUUAUUACGCUCAUAAUUCAAAAAUAAACACUCUUUGUUAGUUAGUCAAGUAGGUUUUAAUUUUUUUUAAAAUGAUGAAAGAAUAGGAAAGAAAAUCGGGCACUAACUUUUAUUGUAUCAAGACAGGAGUAAGCUAGAUAGCAUUAUGAACCAACUCCGUACCUUUUUUGUGUACAACUGAUGUAUGGCGGUAUUCAGGUUCCCUUUCCAACACACAUUUCGAUUGUAACGCUCUUGGUUUACUCUUUGUAAUUGCGGGGUGCUUAAAGCUCCCUCAGAAAAGAUCUUCAAUCUAGGACACCUUUCCACAACUACUUCUUCCAAACAAGGGAAGUUGAAGGUGUAACUCCCUGGACAAAAGCUUGUGAGCCUUUGUAGAUAGCUUAUUUCUAAACAUUUCAAUUUCCUGACAACUAUUGUCUGAUGAUAGUCUCCCUCAUUUGUCACUAUUUCUGUCAUUUCAGUGCAGCCUCUUACCCUCAUUGUUGUUAAUUGCACCAGAUUCUCAACUACUAAGGGUGUAACUAAAUUUGUCAUCAUUUUGCAAUUUGACACCUCCAAAGUUGUGAGAUUUUGGAAAGAUAAUGACGAGGCUCCAAUAUUUUUCAAAUCAUCACAAUACCAAAUUGUGAGUGUUUGGAGAUUAGAGAGAAUAUGACCAAGUUCCGAAUCUUUCCUCCAUACAUGCUUAAGAUUUUUGGAAGAACGCAAUUCCAGAUUUUUUAUUGGUGAGAGAGUCCCAACAUCUCCCUUACAAGGGACUACAUGUUUGAAAUCAAAAUAACUAAACUUUAGACUUUCCAAAUUGUAGAAUCUUCGGAAGAGAGGAAAUAUAUAAGAAGAUCCACUAUGGAAGCCACCACCCACGCGAGGGAACAAAUCCAGUGGACAUUGAUUCAUAUCACUAAAAUUUCGUAACUCAAGUGUCUCUAAAUUGGGAAUGACCUAGGAAACCAAGUAAACAUUAACAAAUGAAGCUCAAUGUUGAUGUACAUGCUUAAAUAAAACCAAUGUAGAGUAAUAGGAAUUUUCUUUUUAAAAAUUUAAGAAAACAGAAUACCUUAUGAAUGAAAACUGAUAAUAAUAAUAAUAAUAAUAAUAAUAAUAAUAAACACAAGUAGAAACCCGAAUGAAGAAUAGGAAGUCUGAAUUAAAAUGCACAAGCAAUCAUUAAGUUUCUGAUUAAACAAAAAAAGGCAGAAUAAUGUAAGUUAAAACAAAAGGCUAAUAUAAUACAUGAUACUUUUACUUUUUUAAUUGCCUACAAAACAAUAAUCUCUUCUCUUAAAUGCUCAAAUUAGUGUGCAACCUUUCAAAUGUUGAUAUAAGCCCAACCUUUAUAAAAAUCUUUAAAUGAACAUUUUUCACUUACUGCAAUUCAAGUUGAGUAAAAAAUAAGUGAAAUGUAAUAUAUUUAGAAUAAUAUACAUGACAGUUGAAUCAAACAUUGCUUGAAAAUAAUAUAAUAUAAUAUAAAUAUAAUUUGAGACAUAAUAUACAUUAUUUGAGAAAACCUUAUUUGAGCACUUUCAAAAAAGUUUUGGAACUUAUUUGAGCACUUUAAAAGGUUUGGUUUUCAUUUGAACAUUUUUGUAAAUGUUAGGCUCUUAUACGAGCAUUUUAAAAAUUUUAACUCUUUUGUGAGCAACCCUUAAAAGGUUAGGCCUCUAUUUGAGCAUUUAGCCUUUUUUUUUAUCCACCUUGUCAUAACACUUUGUACUUUUUCUAUCUUUUUCACAAAAAUAAAAGGUAAACUACAACUAUGGUCACUCUAAAAUAGGGUUUGUCCUAUUUUGGCAACUUCAAUUUUUUUCUCAAUUUAGUCACUUUAAAUAAGAUAACUGUGCAAAUUUGUCACUGUUGUUAAUGGAUUGUUAAUGUGACACAUUAGUCUAUUGAGUGACUGACAAGUGGUUUUUUUUUUAUAAACUAAAGUUUAAGCGCAAAAAGUUUUGGACUAAUUAUAAGGAUGCCUUUAAACUUUAGUCAAAAGUCAAUAAAAAAUUUCACUUGUUAGUCACUCAAUGUGCUAAUAUGUCACAUAACAAUCCAUUAAAAGAAAACAAAAAAUUUAACAGUAAUAACUAACUCACACAAUUAUCUUAUUUAGAGUGUCUAAAUUAAAUUUUUUUUUAAAAAAAUUAAAGUUUGAAAUGGUAUUAUUCUAUUUUUAAAAUAUAUCGUCUCAUAUUUUUUAAAUUUAAUUUUUUUAAAAUGUGUUUCAUAACCAUAUUAACAUUUUAUUUAAUAUAAAAAUUAUAACAAAAAAGUGUUAGAAUAUAAUAAGUAAAUAUAUAACUAUUUAUCACAUAAUGUGGAAAAUAGUAAGUAGAUUUUAUUUGUCAAAAUCUUAUUUUUGAAAUAAAUUAUUUCUUCAUUUUUAGAAAAAUAAAAAUAAAAAAUUUAACUUUUAUUUAAAUAUAAUAUAAAAAUAUAAAAUAUUAUCAUAAUAAUAUUAAUUAUGAUUUUAAAAAUUAAUAUUUAUAUAAUUUCAUAAUUCCAAUGAUGACCCUAAACCAGUAAAUACUUAAAUAUAAGUAUUAGAUAGAUAUCUCCAAAGAAAUGCCUAUCAAAGCAAUGUAAGAUUCAGUUAAUUAAAUUGCAUCAUUAUGGCAUAUAACAACAUAACAUGCAUGUGAUCAUAUACGUACCUCUUCAACCAACAAUACUGCCUCCCCAUUUCCCUUCCUUUCCUGGAUUCUAACAUCUUCUAAACCCACUAUCAUUAGCAAAGCAGAACAAUCCGUGGUCAAUUUUUUCAACAUUGGCCACGCAAUUGUAUGUUGCCCUUUAUAGAAACAUUUGAGCUUUUCUAAGUGUUCAACCAUAAGGGAAGACACUUUGGGAAACUCAAAACUCACAGGCUGCUCCUCUACACCUUCCCCUUCCGAUACAAUCUCCUCCACCCCACACCGAAUUAUCCAUAAUUGUUCAAGUUGCGGAAGAUGUUUGGCUAUUAACGCUGGAAAUAUAUUUUUUAGCCUCUCACAGUUUGAAACACUUAAUUCUCGUAGAUUUUGAAAAGAAUCUGGUGGUAGCUCAUUAUGAAAUAUCAUCUUCGCAUUUAUCAACCCGGAGAUUUUCAUCCUUUCCAAGCUUGGAAUUGCAACCUAUUCAUAUAUAUCAUUCAUGCUCAUAAGAAAGUUAGCUCAUGUAAUGCAGGACGAAUCAACUGAAUCAUAUAUAAGACUAAUGAAAUAAAUAAAUCACCUUCUCAUUGAAGAGAGUAUGCAUGCCGGACUCAAUACUGCUUUCACUAAUGAAUUCUUUUAAUUUCGGGCAAAACCCAAUCGUUAGCUCUUUCAACAAAGGGAAUUCGACAUUAUAAUUUCCUGAGCAGAAGGAGAUGAGGUUUCCAAGGAAAUCCAUACGCAGAAAGUUUAAUCGGGGGAAACAAAUCACAUUAUUCAUUUCUUCUUCUUCUUCUUCUAUUUCCUCUGUAAAUAUUAUCUCCCUUAAGGACUCACAAUGCACUAUCUCAAAGCGGUGGAGCUGCACCAGACUCCUGGCGACAGAGGGUGAUAACAGAUGCUCCAACUUGCCGCAUCCACUGAUGAUCAACCUCCUCAAAUUCGAACUCCUAUGAUAUGUCUGCUUGUGCCAUAUUGUGUUGUUGUUAAUGGAAUGAUGGAAAACAAGUUGCAUAAAUACAAACAAUUCUUUUCUUCUAAAAAUCUAAAUGGAAGGGAAACGAAAAGAUAAUACGUAACAUAAAUUGGAAAUAUGAUUUUCGAUUUUAAAGAAUUUUAGUUCGAACUGUGAAUUCCAAUUACAUUUUCAUCAUUUUUGUGUAUUGAAUUGAUUUUGGACUUUCGAUGAGUUUGGAUUAAAAUUUAAAUUUUGGGUUUGAAAUUUACUUUGCAGCCUUAAAAACUAUUGGAUAAUUAAUUAUUUUAUUAUUAGAAAUUUAAGUUAGUGGAUCAAAUAAUUAUCUAAUAAUUAUAACUUUUUUGACGAUGUCACUAAAUAGUUGCAUUAUAAAUAAAAGUUGUAAAAGAAUAUAUGAAUAAUGUCAAACAAAUACCUGAUAAAUGAAAAGUGGUAGGGGCUCAAAACUCGUGGAACACCUUUCCUCUUGACAGCAAAAGCUAAUAAGUUGCGGCAGACGCUCAAGUUUUAUGAAACGUAAUUCAGAAAACUCAAUUUUGUUCAUUGUGAUAUAUUGCACCUGCAUACCAUUUUGGACAUGAAGACUCUGUAAAUGUGGAAAAUCGUUCCCUUUAUUUAACUCUGCAAGUACAUUCUUGAUGCCUUCAAGACCUUCUAGGUCUAGGUACAAAUCUUCAGCCUUUCCCAGCAACAUUUUCACCCCAUUAUCCAAACAAAUGUUUGUAUAUAACUGGAGCUCCAAUGUCCUUGAACAUUCAUGUCUUCGGAGCCACUUGGAUCUAGGAUGAUUACCUACAAUAAUCCUGUAUCUGUUCAAUGUCUCAAUGAAUCGAUGCUUUGGAAUCAUUUGGAUAUCAGAAAUUCGAACAUAUAAAGUAGUUAGACGAGACAAAUUGUUUAAUUCAUCAAGGCUUGCAUUUCUCCUCUUGUUGUCAACUACUCCUUCAUUUUCCCAUUCAGCAAAGCUUCCCUCCAUAUAUAAUUCUUCUAAUUUAGACAAACUUGAUAAGACAUUUGGUGGGAUGAUUUUGAGUUUUCUACACCCACUCAAAUCUAACAACCUUAACCGAGUCAAUUGUGCUAUCUCCUUGGGUAGUUCUUUGAUCCUUGAGAAAGCAAGGUCGAGGAUUUCUAAAUUUUUGAGCUCUCCAAUGAUGGUUAUGUCUUCAACUAGACAUCCUCUUAGACAUAACAUGCGAAGGUCUAAGAGGUGAUUAAUUGACUCAGGUAGAUAGGAAUAUGAACGUAAAUCCAAGAUUUUGAGACUUUCAAUUCGUCUGAAAAAAUGGGGAGGAAUUGCCACUGAAUCAUCAUGGGCCAUAUGGAAAAAGGAAAGACCUGAAUACUCCAUCUCCUUGGGAAGCUCGGCUACAAUUUGAGGACAAGGUAAGCUUAUCACUCUCAAGCUGUUCAUUUUCGCCUUAUCGGACCACUCCUUUGGAAUAUGAUCUCUCAAAACAAGCAUAUGGUAGUCCCUCGAUGCAAUAGCUAAAGCAGCAUCCCAAACAACAUCAUGGAUAUCA